CUAAUAUUUUACUGAAAUCUGAUUGUCUGCAUUUUCCACCCAUUUGUUCUAUUCCUGCCCCCUGGAGCAAUGGAGAACAAGCCUGCUUCAUCUACUGUGUGAUACUCCUUCAGAUAUUUGAAGACUGCUCUCAUAUUUGUCCUUGAGCUUCUGUUUCACAGGCUAAACAUGCCCACCUUUUCCAAAU